GCUCACUAAAAGUUCUCUGGUAGCAGAAACACUGGAGAUUUUUUAUAUUUGCUUUUAAUUUUUACAACAAACAUGUGAAAGCAUAAAAGCAAACUUUUAAGAUGCCAAUUAUAAAUAUAAUGGGAAGAACAGUCUAAAAUACUUUUAAAAAAAUAAAAUAAGAUACUGUAUAUUAUAAGUUCCUAGAACACUCACUAUUGGCAGAAAACUAUCUGAAAGAUUCUUCUUUGGUAAAAUUAGACACUAAUACACAGCUGGCCUUUCAUGUAAGGACACUUCAAAUGUUAUAGGAAAGAAGUUAAAGAGGAUAUAGAACAGGAUUAGAAGACAUGUUCCCACUUCCAUAAACACACGCAUUUUAGAGGAAUGAGUCUGACCUUCU
rnacentral:lncRNA from 1 species